rnacentral:rRNA from 1 species
GAUGAACGCUGGCGGCGUGCCUAAUACAUGCAAGUCGAGCGAACGGGCGAGAAGCUUGCUUCUCUGAUGUUAGCGGCGGACGGGUGAGUAACACGUGGAUAACCUACCUAUAAGACUGGGAUAACUUCGGGAAACCGUAGCUAAUACCGGAUAAUAUUUUGAACCGCACGGUUCAAAAGUGAAAGACGGUCUUGCUGUCACUUAUAGAUGGAUCCGCGCUGCAUUAGCUAGUUGGUAAGGUAACGGCUUACCAAGGCAACGAUGCAUAGCCGACCUGAGAGGGUGAUCGGCCACACUGGAACUGAGACACGGUCCAGACUCCUACGGGAGGCAGCAGUAGGGAAUCUUCCGCAAUGGGCGAAAGCCUGACGGAGCAACGCCGCGUGAGUGAUGAAGGUCUUCGGAUCGUAAAACUCUGUUAUUAGGGAAGAACAUAUGUGUAAGUAACUGUGCACAUCUUGACGGUACCUAAUCAGAAAGCCACGGCUAACUACGUG